rnacentral:rRNA from 1 species
GACGAACGCUGGCGGCGUGCUUAACACAUGCAAGUCGCACGGAAAGGCCCCCACCUUGGUGGGGGUUCUCGAGUUGCGAACGGGUGAGUAACACGUUGUUCAUCGGCCCUGUACUUCGGGAUACGCUUGGGAAUCUGUGUCUACUUCCGGAUCGGACCAUUGUUUAGUGUCUCAUGGUGGAACACUUAUUGUUUUGGUGCAGGAUGAUCUCGCGGCCUAUCCUCUUGUUGGUGAGGUAAUGGCCUACCAAGGCGUCGACGGGUAGCCGGCCUGAGAGGGUGGACGGCCACAUUGGGACUGAGAUACGGCCCAGACUACUACGGGAGGCAGCAGUGGGGAAUAUUGAACAAUGGGCGCAAGCCUGAUGCAGCGACGCCGCGUGGGGGAUGACGGCCUGCGGGUUGUAAACUCCUUUCGUUAGGGACGAAGCCACACCUUUUUUGGGUGUGGUGACGGUACCUUUGUUAAGAAGAACCGGCUAACUACGUG